rnacentral:rRNA from 1 species
GCACGAGCGCACCCUUGUCGUUAGUUGCCAUCAUGUAAUGGGGGACACUCUUGGGACACUGCCUGACAAAACGCGGGGAAGAGGGGAUAUCACCUCGACCCCUUGUGCCCUUUGUGCCCGGGGCUACACAUGUUCUACAGUGCGGGAUACAGAGCGGCCCAACCUCGCGAGGGUAGACAAUAUCCCAAAACCU